AUGUGCAUUACAAACAGCAGCAGCAGCAACCCACCCCCCGGCCUUCUUGCUUCUGGGUCUUUUUGUGUGUGGCCCUCAGACCAUUACUUGAGGACCCCUGACCUAAACUAUUCUCUGUACCUCAGGGUCUUGUUUCUUCUGGACAUCAUGACAAAGGAGCAGAGCCACACAGGAAAAAACUCUUUUCUGCUGCAACGCUGGAUAUACAGCAGGAACUCUCCUGGGAUCAGUUACGCAGUCUAUACCGAGGACCAUCCGGGCUGUCCAUCCUCUCAGAAGUGUCCCCCUGUCCAAGUGGUGAGAGGUCACGGUUCCAACUUGCUGCCCAACCAGGGAACACAGAGAGUUUACUUCUGAAACUCUCUCCACCACCUAUGUUUGAAGAAUAACAUCUGAUUCAACACAGAUGUUGUUGGGCAGAGGCCACUUGUGUGUGGGUUUUUGUCCAUUUUAAUGUGAACUAGCUGAACGAUUUUAAAGUACCUGUAAAUAAUCUUAACUGGAGCGUUUAGACUUUGGUCUGGUCUAGUGUCAGGCUGCUGUUACUGUUCAGACUGUGUAGAAGAUGAAUGAUAACCAUUUACGUCAGUUUUGUACUUGAAGAUUGUUGCUAAGUAACAUGAAUCACUGCUUUAUUAACAACAAAAGUAAUAAAAAUGCAGAGUAGAAAACAUUUGACUUUUGUCACCUAAUGUAUUGGUAACAUGAGGAGCUCCAAAUGUUCCAUUAAAAGCUUUUCUGUUGCAUGUUUGAAGCCUAAAGUAAAAAAUGUCUUAAAGCUUUUCCAGCGAUGCGUCCUUUUUGGAUUAGUUUGUCACUGAAGUAAGGAGUCGCUUACAGCAUUACCUAAAUACAUGACAUCACACUUGUGUACUUCUGCUUCCACACACGAGUUUCAUCACAUUAAAUUAAAUUGUAAUAAGCAAGCGCCCCAUAUAAAUUCUACUAAUUGAUUUUCUUGGUUAAUCUGACACUUGGUUUAAUAACCUCGAAACAGCAGCCGUGGACGCCGAAAAAGGGUCGACCUCUGGGACACCAACAUUGCGGAUAUUUUGACGUCUAGAACAAGACUCCAAGUCGUCACAUUUAUCCUCGUCUCGCCACAGCUUUGGUUAGAUGAUCCACUUUUCCCUGGAGGCCAACGACAUCAUCAGUGAAGGUGGACAAGGACUGCACUAUUUCAGCUACCGUUACCUUUAGCCCAGUGAAGUUCUCCUGCAUUGCUGACAAGCCAGAGGAUAAUUCCUUUUUGA
rnacentral:lncRNA from 1 species